rnacentral:rRNA from 1 species
UACGUAGGCAGCAAGCGUUGUUCGGAGUUACUGGGCGUAAAGGGUGUGUAGGCGGUUCUUUAAGUUUGGUGUGAAAUCUCCCGGCUCAACUGGGAGGGUGCGCCGAAUACUGAGGGACUAGAGUACGGGAGAGGAAAGUGGAAUUCCUGGUGUAGCGGUGAAAUGCGUAGAUAUCAGGAGGAACACCGGUGGUGUAGACGGCUUUCUGGACCGACACUGACGCUGAGAUACGAAAGCGUGGGUAGCAAACAGG